AAACCAUGAUGAGGACAUUGGUUGGUGUAACUUUUGAAGCGCUCCCAGGCCUCACAGAAGCUUUCUCCAUUCUUUUGGGCAAAACCAGAGAUCUCAUUCCUGAGCCG
rfam:Arabidopsis lyrata subsp. lyrata unplaced genomic scaffold ARALYscaffold_3, whole genome shotgun sequence.